rnacentral:rRNA from 1 species
AGGAAAAGAAACCAACAGGGAUUGCCUUAGUAGCGGCGAGUGAAGCGGCAAGAGCUCAGAUUUGAAAUCUCACCUAGUGUGCGAGUUGUAAAUUGCAGGUUGGAGUCUCGGGUUAGACGUGUGUGCAAGUCCCUUGGAACAGGGUGCCACUGAGGGUGAGAGCCCCGUAUCGUGCAUGUCGACACCUGUGAGGCCCUUCUGACGAGUCGAGUUGUUUGGGAAUGCAGCUCUAAGUGGGUGGUAAAUUCCAUCUAAGGCUAAAUAUUGGCGAGAGACCGAUAGCGAACAAGUACUGUGAAGGAAAGAUGAAAAGCACUUUGAAAAGAGAGUGAAACAGCACGUGAAAUUGUUGAAAGGGAAGGGUAUUGGGCUCGACAUGGGAUUUACGCAUCGUUGCCUCUCGUGGGCGGCGCUCUGGGUUUUUCCUGGGCCAGCAUCGGUUUUCGUUGCAGGAUAAGGACAAUUGGAAUGUGGCUCCUCGGAGUGUUAUAGCCUUUUGUAGAUGCUGCGUAUGGGGACCGAGGGCUGCGGCGGACUCGUUUCGUCUCGGAUGCUGGCACAACGGC